GACGAACGCUGGCGGCGUGCUUAACACAUGCAAGUCGAACGGUGAAGCGCCUUCCUUUUUGGUGGGUGUGGAUGAGUGGCGAACGGGUGAGUAACACGUGAGUAACCUGCCCCCUUCUUCUGGAUAACCGCAUGAAAGUGUGGCUAAUACGGGAUAUUCUGGGUCUGUCGCAUGAUGGGUCUGGGAAAGAUAUUGUUUCGGUGGGGGAUGGGCUCGCGGCCUAUCAGCUUGUUGGUGGGGUGAUGGCCUACCAAGGCGGUGACGGGUAGCCGGCCUGGGAGGGUAGACGGUCACACUGGGAGUGAGGCAAGACCCAGACUCCUAAGGGAGGCAGCAGUGGGGAAUAUUGCACAAUGGGCGCAAGCCUAAUGCAGCGGCGCCGCGUGAGGAAUGGAGGCCUUCGGGUUGUGAACCUCUUUCGCCAGUGAAGCAGGCCUGCCUCGUUUGUGGGUGGGUUGACGGUAGCUGGAAAAGAAGCGCCGGCUAACUACGUG
rnacentral:rRNA from 1 species